rnacentral:rRNA from 1 species
GACAGAGGGUGCAAACGUUGUUCGGAAUUACUGGGCGUAAAGCGCGUGUAGGUGGCGAGGCAAGUCGGGUGUGAAAGCCCUGGGCUCAACCCAGGAAGUGCACUCGAUACUGCCUAGCUAGAGUCCCGGAGAGGUUGGUGGAACUCUCGGUGUAGAGGUGAAAUCGUAGAUAUCGAGAAGAACACCGGUGGCGAAGGCGGCCAACUGGACGGUGACUGACACUGAGACGCGAAAGCGUG